rnacentral:rRNA from 1 species
AUUGAACGCUGGCGGCAGGCCUAACACAUGCAAGUCGAACGGUAACAGGGAUCAGCUUGCUGAUUCGCUGACGAGGGGCGGCCGGGUGAGAAAUGUCUGGGAAACUGCUUGAUGGAGGGGGAUAACUACUGGAAACGGUAGCUAAUACCGCAUAACGUCGCAAGCCCAAAGAGGGGGACCUUCGGGCCUCUUGCCAUCGGAUGUGCCCAGAUGGGAUUAGCUAGUAGGUGGGGUAACGGCUCACCUAGGCGACGAUCCCUAGCUGGUCUGAGAGGAUGACCAGCCACACUGGAACUGAGACACGGUCCAGACUCCUACGGGAGGCAGCAGUGGGGAAUAUUGCACAAUGGGCGCAAGCCUGAUGCGGCCAUGCCGCGUGUAUGAAGAAGGCCUUCGGGUUGUAAAGUACUUUCAGCGGGGAGGAAGGGAGUAAAGUUAAUACCUUUGCUCAUUGACGUUACCCGCAGAAGAAGCACCGGCUAACUCCGUG